rnacentral:rRNA from 1 species
GACGAACGCUGGCGGCGUGCCUAACACAUGCAAGUCGAGCGGGGUUAUAUAAAGGAAGUCCUUCGGGGCGGAAAGUAUAUAACCUAGCGGCGGACGGGUGAGUAACGCGUGAUGAACCUGUCCUUAACAGGGGGAUAACAGCCGGAAACGGUUGCUAAUACCGCAUAAGCCCACACUACCGCAUGGUAGAGGGGGAAAAGGAGCAAUCCGGUUAAGGGUGGCAUCGCGUCCCAUUAGCUAGUUGGUAAGGUAAGAGCUUACCAAGGCGACGAUGGGUAGCCGACCUGAGAGGGUGAUCGGCCACACUGGGACUGAGACACGGCCCAGACUCCUACGGGAGGCAGCAGUGGGGAAUAUUGGGCAAUGGGCGAAAGCCUGACCCAGCAACGCCGCGUGAGGGAAGAAGGUUUUCGGAUCGUAAACCUCUGUUUUUGGGGAAGAAGGAAGUGACGGUACCCAAACAGCAAGCCCCGGCUAACUACGUGCCAGCCGCCGCCGUAACAC